UGAUCUUCGAUCGAUCCUUCUUCUUCUUUUUGUUAUGUAGCCUUGGAUUAUGAAUCGUUUAUUUCCAGUAGUGUAUUCGCUUCAUGGUACGAAGAUCAAGAAUCAUGUGCAUGACAUAUUUAAGGAGCGUAAGGCCUGCGUAAAGUUAGAACUUUUUUACUUGAACCAGAGCUCCUUGUCUCUUUCCUGAUUCGAGCAUCGCGUCCAAGACAGCAACAUCACGAGCACCUUCAGCAAAUGAGAGACGAGGAUCGAUGUGUGAACUAUGGUCCUUCUUCAGGUUGGCCGUCGAUACAUCUGAUAGAAAUGUUUUCAGUUCAUCAGUGACCCCGCUAAACGGAUAAAAGAAGCUCUUGCUUUGACCAUCAGCCAUAUGUAGGGAAACCGAGUAGCCAUGCUUUCCAUCCUUGUUACCACGGUCAACUUGCAGCACUCCGUUUAAACCCACAACUCGCCAGAUUACCUUUGGUGACUUCGAAGAUACCACCAUCACAAAAACUCCUGAACACCCAUUUUCCAGUUGAAACAUUGACGAGAUGUUAUCCGGAGGAGGCAAAGUCUUAUCUACAUGAGAAUUCAUGGAUGACAAUGAUGCAAUCUCACAUCCAAUAAGCAUCCUAAGUCCGGCUACAAAAUGUACGCCCAUGUCUAGAAUGAAACCACCAACAAACUGGCGUCUCCAGGAGCUAGCGAAGUAAGGGUUUGAGCUGUUCAUUGCUCCUUCAACAAUUACUUGGAUAUUCAUCAUUUCUCCGAUUUCAGAAAUUAACCUCUUGCCCUCAAUGAAGGCAGGUUCAAAGCGAUAAUUUUCUGCAACGGCCCAUAUUGGUUGCUGAGUCAAUGUGGUGCUAAGAGAAUUAUAGUGAGUCAAUGCUUUUUCAGCCUCGUCCACAGUUGGGGCAGCUGGUUUCUCUUGAAGGACAUGCUUUCCUGCCUUAAGCAACCUCAGUGACAUAUCCACCAUGGUUUGUCCAGCAAGAACCACAGCAACACCAGUAAUGGAACUAUCCUUAAUGAUCUCCUCGAGUCCAGCAUCUCCCCACUUACAUUCCACAUUCGGGAAAUGCUUCUGUGCUAUUUCAACAGCACUUCUG
rnacentral:misc_RNA from 1 species